ACCAACCCCCCAUUUUUCUCUCUUCCUCUCUAGUAGCUCCAAUUUGAGAUGCCGUUUCAAGAUACUAUCUUUUCUGCUCCAUUCUUUUUGUUCUCACAGAAUCUUUUACUCUUUUUUUCAAUAACAUACUUAAAAACAUUUACAAUCAAACCCCACCAUAAUAACCACAAUAACAACAACAUCAACUACAACAUUAUGAGGCAUCUUUGCCUCCUCUCUCUGCUCCUCUUGCCCUUGCUUCUUCCCACCACCACCUCCAACCUUUUAGUCCACGGGAGAGCACUCCAGCCCGAUGCCACGGUGGAGAUCGGAUCCCAUGCCCAUGAAUUCAAGUUGAAACCAAAGGAUGAUGAUGGUGGUGGUGACAGUGGUGGUGGUGGUUCGGACACAUCGAAUCAACGAGUAUUUACGUUGGCAUCAGGACCGAGCAGGAGGGGAGACGGGCACAAGUGAAAAUUGGAAAAAGCUUGGAGUUAUUGGAUGGCGUUUGUUAUUGUUGGGUUUGAUGCAUGUGUUUUAAUUGUUUUACUCUGCGGUUGUAAUCUGUAAGAAAGAGUACUAAGCUUUUCAUAGAUUGUACAAAAAUUCUUUUCACAGAUCAUAAGUUACUGUCAUCAUAUAUUGUCUUGAUAUGUCAUCUUAGAUUGAGUUUGUUAGUCAUUUCCAGUAUUUGGAUUUUAAAUGAGCCUAUUGCUCUGUUUUUUUCCCUCCUUUUUAAAGUGGAGCUAUGGAUGAUCCCCUUUUGGGAAGUUUUUAGGCCUCAAUCUUCCUACCCAAUCUCAAAUUGAUCAAGAAAUUGGGGGUGAGUUUGGAAUUUUCAAGAUCAAAAUUUUCACUGCUUUUUUACUUUUAUUUACAUUCCAUAAUUGUGAGGGGGCAUUAGUGGUUUGUUAAAAUUAAGCCCAUAGCCUAUUUAGACUAUAUAUUUUAUGCUUUGACAAAAACAACAGAAUUCUUAAACCCAGUCCAAUUUAAAUACAUGGGUAAUCAAAAUACUUCUUACAGUUAAAAGAAAUAUGUGAUUGCACAUCAUUGUCCACUAAUUAAUUAUUAUCUCAUUGUCAUCUCAGUACCAUAUAAUUACCAUAUGAUUGUCCAUCAUACCGAUUCCUAUUUGAUUGUUGUCGAAUUAUUGGCCGAUCCUUAUCUAAUUUGCUAAUUAUGUUGUUUGAUGUUUAAUUAUUAUUUGAUAUUGAUUCCAAUAUGACUGUGAAUGAUACUAAUUGUUAUUAUCUUAUUGUUGUCUAAUUAUUAUAUGUUAUUUGUUGUUAAUGAUACUUAAUUGUUUAACCGACUAUGGUUUCUUAAAUUAAAUUUAAUCUAAAAUAUAAUUUAUAGGAUAUAUAAAAGCUUCCAUGGGAAGGAAAAAAAAAUUUCUCCUUUAGUUCUGUGUUUCAAAUCACUUUUUAAUUUUGUAGUAUAAAUUUAUUUUUAAUUUUAUAUUUUUUAAUAUAAUUAAUCAUGGAACCUAGUCUCUCCAACUAUUUAUUAAAUUAAUUAUACUUAAGUUUAAUGAGAUUAAAGUAACUAAAAUAUGCAUGAUGUGAAAAGUUGGAAGGUAAAUGAUUUUUCAUUUAUAUUUUAAAAAUUAAUUUAAAAUUCUCCUUCCCUCGUACUAAUUAUUUUGUAUCUCUAUCAACCUUUUAAAAUUUUUUCCUUUUCAAAUGUUUAAGUAUAAAUAUCUCAUUCUUUAUCUUUUCUUUUCAUGUUCACAAGUCACACCAAAAAGUGAAGGGUACGAAGAGAAAAUCAAAUCAUGUUCUUUAUUCUCUUCUAAUAUUUUUUCUUAAUUUUAUUUUGUUUUCUAUUUUUUGUAUAGAAAUAUGUUUAUGUAUAUUUCUUUAUUUAUAGAUUUUUGCGAUGUCUAUGAGCAAGCAAUUGACUCCAAUAAAAAAAGGUAGAGAAAUUGAUGAGGAUUCAAAUAUGAAAAAAGUAAAAAUGAGAAACUAAAGAGAUAACGAUUAGAAGCAUCAUUUUUAAAAAAUAACAAAGUGGCAUAAGGAACUAGUUUUUUAGAAAACAAAUUAUUGUUUUGUAAUUAAGUAUAUGCUUUUGAUGUAAAGAUAUAGGAUGUGCUUAUCACUUUAGUAUAAUUUAGGGAUGGAAGGAAAAAAAUUGUCUUCUCUAUUUGUAUUAUUUUAAUAAUAUAUUUUUAUUUAAAUUUAAUUAUUUAUUUCAAAACAAUAACUAAUUAUAAUUUUUAGGAAAUUUGUUAAAUAAUUAUAUACUUACGUGUGAGGCCUUCGUUUCUCUGGCUUCACUCUUUGACUCUUUUGCUCCAUAAGAUUAGAGUCGGCUUCUUAUCAUUCUCUUCUUUGUUGUUUUUCGUCACUAAUGUUGCUCUUUGUAGGGGGUACCUAGAGCUGUAAGGGUAGCACCGCCUCGUCUGCCUAGGUUGUCCAACUACCCUUCUUAGCGCAUCGCAUUAGGGCUAUCCCUACUUAACAGUUGUUCGACCUCGACAUUUGGCCUGCUCAUGUCAUCAUAUAGCAAUGUCCAUUAUUCCUUUCCAUUUCAUCAGAAACUACUUCUUAAGGCUGGGUACUUUAAGGCAUGAAGACUCCACUUCUUUCAUUACCUCAGACGUCCAACGACUCGUCCUGAAGAUAGCGUUUAGAGAUACCUUUCUCUAACUCAGUCCUCUAGCUCUCUCACCUCCUGGGUUGGAUCUUGCCAACAUAUUGUGGUACUCACCUUUUCUUAGGACUGAACAUUCUACAUUUAGGAGCAACCGGCCUUCCAAACGGCUCCUUAGGUGUAAGGUCUAUGAACAAAAGAAUAAGUUAGAAAAUUGCAUAGUCUCUUGCAAGAAGAAUAGGAAAAUAGACCAAAUCACAACGCGAGAAGCUAUUUGCUAAAAGACAAGAAUAGUAGUUGGAGAUGAUGUGACAUGACACUAACAAAUUUCAGCAUACAGUGCUUAAAUGUUCAGAAAAGUAGAAGUUUUCCUGUCAAAAGCUGUCUAUAAAAAGUCUUCUUCUUCAUCAAAGAGAGGGAGACAUGUAUGGGCCAAGACGGCCAGAUGUCUUAAUAGACUGGCCAAUCCCUGGAGAGUGGCGGAAAGGAAUAGUCUUUUUAUCGUUUGUAAAAGUUUUCUUAUUCUUCUUUAAUCAGUUGUAAAAGUGAGAGUUUGGCUUCUGUCUAGGGAAGAAUCCAUACUCCCUUUGUCCCCUAACUUAUAAUAUUUUCCAUUCUGAUCUUUUCUCUCCAUUUUUAUACUUCUUUGUAAUAUAUGCUGUUAAUAUUCUACAAUGGCCUAAGGCUUGUAUUCUUUAUAUAUAUAUACAUGUUUAUACCUUUUCAAUCAAUCA